AAAUUUCCCAAAUAUUAUCAAGCCUGCAACUCCUAACCUUAUUGAUCACUCACUUAAGAGAGUCCGCUCCAUUAAAAUAAAAAUUCUCUUUCAAACGACUCCAAAAUUCUUCAGAAUCCAUCUCCAUAAAUAGAGGCUCAAUGAUGCACAAAAAUAGGGCAUGGGGAGUGGAGCUUGGGCACAUGGUCGGUGAGCACUGGCUACCUGUUUUUAGGAGCUCCCGCUUCUUUUGCUGUGGGGUUGUAAUGCUAGGGGCAAUUCAAACAUGUGCUUGCAUGGGCAUAGUUCGUAAAUGUUUGGAGUUGUUGGGCUUGAUAAAAAAGAUCUCUCCUUCGAUUGCCAGCCAGUAGGGAGCUCACAAGGUACAAGGGGAGUCUUGAUCCCAGAUUGUUGAUCAACAAAAUAAACUCUCAAUACCUAAUGAGAGUAGAGAUGAAGAAGUUUGUCCGACACAGAUGUCAAGGACAUCAUGGCUUAAGCAGUACCUAUAAUUUUCAGAGGAAUGCUGAUUCUAGGUGCAGUAUUCCUUGUUAUGUACUUAUGGUACAACAACACAUUUUUUUGGGUAAAAAAAGACUUCCCCAAAAAAAUGUGCUACCAUGCUUUGCUAUUUUGAUGUGUUAUGCCAUUUGAAUCAAGGUUUUACGACCAAUAUUUUUGUACGUCGAGGCAAUUCCAUAUCCUCAAAUUAAUGGAGAUAAAUUUAUCCAAACACACACACAUACACAUUCAUCUGUGGAAACAUUUUCUCAUCUUAUUAGAACUCGUUUUGGUUUUGUGCAC